GGGCUCGUGGUCUAGUUGGUUAGGACACUGCCUUGACAUGGCAGAGAUCUCCGGUUCAAAUCCGGACGAGCCCA
rnacentral:tRNA from 1 species